CAUGCAUGUCUAAGUAUAAGCGUUAUACUGUGRAAMCUGCGAAYGGCUCAUUAAAUCAGCAAUAAGUUUCUUUGGUGGUGACCUACUACAUGGAUAACCGUAGUAAUUCUAGAGCUAAUWCAUGCGUAAAUCUCGACUCACGAAGAGACGUAUUUAUUAGAUAAAGRCCGACCUCGUUCUGCGGUGAAUCAUAAUAACUUCACGGACCGYAUGGCUUUACGCCGGCGGUGUUCCAUUCAAAUUUCUGCCCUAUCAACUUUCGACGGUAGGAUAGAGGCCUACCGUGGUGUUCACGGGUGACGGAGAAUUAGGGUUCGAUUCCGGAGAGGGAGCCUGAGAAACGGCUACCACAUCCAAGGAAGGCAGCAGGCGCGCAAAUUACCCAAUCCUGACCCUGGGAGGUAGUGACAAUAAAUAACAAUAUCGGGGUUUUUCAASUCUG
rnacentral:rRNA from 1 species